ACUCCUACGGGAGGCAGCAGUAGGGAAUCUUCCACAAUGGGCGCAAGCCUGAUGGAGCAACACCGCGUGAGUGAAGAAGGGUUUCGGCUCGUAAGGCUCUGUUGUUAAAGAAGAACACGUAUGAGAGUAACUGUUCAUACGUUGACGGUAUUUAACCAGAAAGUCACGGCUAACUACGUGCCAGCAGCCGCGGUAAUACGUAGGUGGCAAGCGUUAUCCGGAUUUAUUGGGCGUAAAGAGAGUGCAGGCGGUUUUCUAAGUCUGAUGUGAAAGCCUUCGGCUUAACCGGAGAAGUGCAUCGGAAACUGGAUAACUUGAGUGCAGAAGAGGGUAGUGGAACUCCAUGUGUAGCGGUGGAAUGCGUAGAUAUAUGGAAGAACACCAGUGGCGAAGGCGGCUACCUGGUCUGCAACUGACGCUGAGACUCGAAAGCAUGGGUAGCGAACAGGAUUAGAUACCCUGGUAGGAUAGCG
rnacentral:rRNA from 1 species